CGACCUGGCCCGGCGGGGGCCGCGCCGGACCCCCGCUGUGGCGCGCGGAGCAGCUCCACCCCCUCCUCGGUGAACUUGCGUGCCCCGGCCUUUUGUUCCAACACCUCCAGGUCGCGGACCACAUCGGGCUCUGGGAAGAAUCUAGUGGGUGGUGACCCGCAUUUUAUGAAAACGAAAUAGGGUAAGAGAAAAAAUCAGAGUACAUCUUCCAUAGCAAGAACAAAUACUGUUUUGUGAAGCAUUUAUUUCCCUUAGUCACAUUAAGUGUGGACUUGGUCAGGACGGAAAAUGUAUUUUUUACUGUGCUGAGAACUACUUACCUGCCAUGUGAGAGAGGUGCUGUGACUCCCCAUUUUGCAGAGGAGGAAGCAGAGGCCCAGCACAGGGGAGCCAAAUGGCAGGAAGCUCUCCCCGACUGGCAUCCACAGUGAUCUGUGUUUCUUGGAAACUCGGAGAGAAUUUGCCAUUUGAUAGAGACAGCAAUGUUUCCCUUCAUGUGCACUGAAUGACUUCACUGUGUUUACUGUCUUUGGUUUUGUUCCAGAGUGGUUUGGCUCUGUGAGCUUGUUACAAGUAGAGCCUGACAAGGCUCCUUGAGUGUGGUCCACGCUGCUCUCUGUGAUGACUGCCAUUCUAAUGGUCAAGGUCGCCAGUGACCUCCGGGAGGUUAAGCCCUGUAAGCCGUAAGCUGUGCUCGACAGAUAAAUAUGUUGAGACUCAGGAAAAUGAAGUGGCUUGUCAAGAAGACUCAGUUUUAA